GACGAACGCUGGCGGCGUGCUUAACACAUGCAAGUCGAACGGAAAGGCCCUGCUUUUGUGGGGUGCUCGAGUGGCGAACGGGUGAGUAACACGUGAGUAACCUGCCCUUGACUUUGGGAUAACUUCAGGAAACUGGGGCUAAUACCGGAUAGGAGCUCCUGCUGCAUGGUGGGGGUUGGAAAGUUUCGGCGGUUGGGGAUGGACUCGCGGCUUAUCAGCUUGUUGGUGGGGUAGUGGCUUACCAAGGCUUUGACGGGUAGCCGGCCUGAGAGGGUGACCGGCCACAUUGGGACUGAGAUACGGCCCAGACUCCUACUGGAGGCAGCAGUGGGGAAUAUUGCACAAUGGGCGGAAGCCUGAUGCAGCAACGCCGCGUGCGGGAUGACGGCCUUCGGGUUGUAAACCGCUUUCGCCUGUGACGAAGCGUGAGUGACGGUAAUGUGUAAAGAAGCACCGGCUAACUACGUG
rnacentral:rRNA from 1 species